rnacentral:rRNA from 1 species
AUGAACGCUAGCGACAGGCUUAACACAUGCAAGUCGAGGGGCAGCGGGGGUAGCGAUACCCGCCGGCGACCGGCGCACGGGUGAGUAACGCGUAUGCAACUUGCCUAUCAGAGGGGGAUAACCCGGCGAAAGUCGGACUAAUACCGCAUGAAGCAGGGAUCCCGCAUGGGAAUAUUUGCUAAAGAUUCAUCGCUGAUAGAUAGGCAUGCGUUCCAUUAGGCAGUUGGCGGGGUAACGGCCCACCAAACCGACGAUGGAUAGGGGUUCUGAGAGGAAGGUCCCCCACAUUGGUACUGAGACACGGACCAAACUCCUACGGGAGGCAGCAGUGAGGAAUAUUGGUCAAUGGGCGUAAGCCUGAACCAGCCAAGUCGCGUGAGGGAUGAAGGUUCUAUGGAUCGUAAACCUCUUUUAUAAGGGAAUAAAGUGCGGGACGUGUCCCGUUUUGUAUGUACCUUAUGAAUAAGGAUCGGCUAACUCCGUGCCAGCAGCCGCGGUAAUACGGAGGAUCCGAGCGUUAUCCGGAUUUAUUGGGUUUAAAGGGUGCGUAGGCGGCCUUUUAAGUCAGCGGUGAAAGUCUGUGGCUCAACCAUAGAAUUGCCGUUGAAACUGGGGGGCUUGAGUAUGUUUGAGGCAGGCGGAAUGCGUGGUGUAGCGGUGAAAUGCAUAGAUAUCACGCAGAACCCCGAUUGCGAAGGCAGCCUGCCAAGCCAUGACUGACGCUGAUGCACGAAAGCGUGGGGAUCAAACAGGAUUAGAUACCCUGGUAGUCCACGCAGUAAACGAUGAUCACUAGCUGUUUGCGAUACACUGUAAGCGGCACAGCGAAAGCGUUAAGUGAUCCACCUGGGGAGUACGCCGGCAACGGUGAAACUCAAAGGAAUUGACGGGGGCCCGCACAAGCGGAGGAACAUGUGGUUUAAUUCGAUGAUACGCGAGGAACCUUACCCGGGUUUGAACGCAUUCGGACCGAGGUGGAAACACCUUUUCUAGCAAUAGCCGUUUGCGAGGUGCUGCAUGGUUGUCGUCAGCUCGUGCCGUGAGGUGUCGGCUUAAGUGCCAUAACGGGCGCAACCCUUGCCACUAGUUACUAACAGGUGAUGCUGAGGACUCUGGUGGGACUGCCAGCGUAAGCUGCGAGGAAGGCGGGGAUGACGUCAAAUCAGCACGGCCCUUACAUCCGGGGCGACACACGUGUUACAAUGGCGUGGACAAAGGGAGGCCACCUGGCGACAGGGAGCGAAUCCCCAAACCACGUCUCAGUUCGGAUCGGAGUCUGCAACCCGACUCCGUGAAGCUGGAUUCGCUAGUAAUCGCGCAUCAGCCAUGGCGCGGUGAAUACGUUCCCGGGCCUUGUACACACCGCCCGUCAAGCCAUGGGAGCCGGGGGUACCUGAAGUCCGUAACCGCGAGGAUCGGCCUAGGGUAAAACUGGUGACUGGGGCU